AACGAACGCUGGCGGCAUGCCUAACACAUGCAAGUCGAACGAGACCUUCGGGUCUAGUGGCGCACGGGUUCGUAACGCGUGGGAACCUGCCCUUAGGUUCGGAAUAACUCCCCGAAAGGGGUGCUAAUACCGGAUAAUGUCUUCGGACCAAAGAUUUAUCGCCUUUGGAUGGGCCCGCGUUGGAUUAGCUAGUUGGUAGGGUAAAAGCCUACCAAGGCGACGAUCCAUAGCUGGGCUGAGAGGAUGAUCAGCCACACUGGGACUGAGACACGGCCCAGACUCCUACGGGAGGCAGCAGUGGGGAAUAUUGGACAAUGGGCGAAAGCCUGAUCCAGCAAUGCCGCGUGAGUGAUGAAGGCCUUAGGGUUGUAAAGCUCUUUUACCCGGGAUGAUAAUGACAGUACCGGGAGAAUAAGCUCCGGCUAACUCCGUG
rnacentral:rRNA from 1 species